rnacentral:rRNA from 1 species
AAUGAACGCUGGCGGCAGGCCUAACACAUGCAAGUCGAACGGAUCCUUCGGGAUUAGUGGCGGACGGGUGUGUAACGCGUGGGAACAUACCCAAAGGUACGGAAUAGCCUCGGGAAACUGGGAGUAAUACCGUAUGUGCUCGAAAGAGGAAAGAUUUAUCGCCUUUGGAUUGGCCCGCGUUGGAUUAGGUAGUUAGUGGGGUAAUGGCCUACCAAGCCGACGAUCCAUAGCUGGUUUGAGAGGAUGAUCAGCCACACUGGGACUGAGACACGGCCCAGACUCCUACGGGAGGCAGCAGUGGGGAAUCUUAGACAAUGGGGGAAACCCUGAUCUAGCCAUGCCGCGUGAUCGAUGAAGGCCUUAGGGUUGUAAAGAUCUUUCAGGUGGGAAGAUAAUGACUGUACCACCAGAAGAAGCCCCGGCUAACUCCGUGCCAGCCGCCGCAGUAA